AGCUAAUUAGCGCGUAGGCAGCGCUGCGCCGUCUGUUGUACCGUUUUAGAGAGAAUUUGAGUUAAGAGACUAAUCCAAAAAAAAGAAAGUGACCAAUCUUUCUGUGGAGGCGGCGAAGGGAUGGUAAGGCUUUGAAGCCAAGCAAGCAGCUAUUAGAAAGAAGUUGAAGCUAUAACAGCAGAAGGGGAGAAAAGAAAUGACCUAGGAGGUUAAAAAGAAAGUGACCAAUCUUUUUGUGGAGGCGGCGAAGGGAUGGUAAGGCUUUGAAGCCAAGCAAGCAGCUAUUAGAAAGAAGUUGAAGCUAUAACAGCAGAAGGGGAGAAAAGAAAUGACCUAGGAGGUAUCCUAUUUUGAACACAAAUGGUAUCAAACCUC
rnacentral:lncRNA from 1 species